rnacentral:misc_RNA from 1 species
GAUGAAGAACGUAGCGAAAUGCGAUACGUAAUGUGAAUUGCAGAAUUCCGUGAAUCAUCGAAUCUUUGAACGCACAUUGCACCCGGUGGUAUUCCGCCGGGUAUGCCUGUCUGAGCGUCAUUUCAACCCUCAAGCCCUGCUUGGUGUUGGCGGAUCGCCCGCUGCGGCGACCGCUGAAAUUGAAUGGCGGUAGUACCCGUAGCCCCUGUAGAGUACAUAUUCUUACAGAGGGUCUACGGGCCCCACCAGCUCCGAACCACCAAACAUGAAAGUUGACCUCAGAUCAGGUAGGAAUACCCGCUGAACUUAAGCAUAUCAAUAAGCGGAGGA